rnacentral:rRNA from 1 species
AGAAUACCAAGGCGCUUGAGAGAACUCGGGUGAAGGAACUAGGCAAAAUGGUGCCGUAACUUCGGGAGAAGGCACGCUGAUGUGUAGGUGAAGUCCCUGCGGACGGAGCUGAAAUCAGUCGAAGAUACCAGCUGGCUGCAACUGUUUAUUAAAAACACAGCACUGUGCAAACACGAAAGUGGACGUAUACGGUGUGACGCCUGCCCGGUGCCGGAAGGUUAAUUGAUGGGGUUAGCGGCAACGCGAAGCUCUUGAUCGAAGCCCCGGUAAACGGCGGCCGUAACUAUAACGGUCCUAAGGUAGCGAAAUUCCUUGUCGGGUAAGUUCCGACCUGCACGAAUGGCGUAAUGAUGGCCAGGCUGUCUCCACCCGAGACUCAGUGAAAUUGAACUCGCUGUGAAGAUGCAGUGUACCCGCGGCAAGACGGAAAGACCCCGUGAACCUUUACUAUAGCUUGACACUGAACACUGGUCCUUGAUGUGUAGGAUAGGUGGGAGGCUUUGAAGCGUGGACGCCAGUCUGCGUGGAGCCAACCUUGAAAUACCACCCUUUAAUGGCUGGUGUUCUAACGUAGACCCGUAAUCCGGGUUGCGGACAGUGUCUGGUGGGUAGUUUGACUGGGGCGGUCUCCUCCCAAAGAGUAACGGAGGAGCACGAAGGUUGGCUAAUCCUGGUCGGACAUCAGGAGGUUAGUGCAAUGGCAUAAGCCAGCUUGACUGCGAGCGUGACGGCGCGAGCAGGUGCGAAAGCAGGUCAUAGUGAUCCGGUGGUUCUGAAUGGAAGGGCCAUCGCUCAACGGAUAAAAGGUACUCCGGGGAUAACAGGCUGAUACCGCCCAAGAGUUCAUAUCGACGGCGGUGUUUGGCACCUCGAUGUCGGCUCAUCACAUCCUGGGGCUGAAGUAGGUCCCAAGGGUAUGGCUGUUCGCCAUUUAAAGUGGUACGCGAGCUGGGUUUAGAACGUCGUGAGACAGUUCGGUCCCUAUCUGCCGUGGGCGCUGGAGAAUUGAGGGGGGCUGCUCCUAGUACGAGAGGACCGGAGUGGACGCAUCACUGGUGUUCGGGUUGUCAUGCCAAUGGCACUGCCCGGUAGCUAAAUGCGGAAGAGAUAAGUGCUGAAAGCAUCUAAGCACGAAACUUGCCCCGAGAUGAGUUCUCCCUGAGACCUUGAGUCUCCUGAAGGAACGUUGAAGACGACGACGUUGAUAGGUCGGGUGUGUAAGCGCAGCGAUGCGUUGAGCUAACCGAUACUAAUGAACCGUGAGGCUUAACCUU